UCCCCGGUAGUGUAACGGCAGCACGAGAGGUUCUGGCCCUCUUAGUCUCGGUUCGAAUCCCGGCUGGGGAA
rnacentral:tRNA from 1 species